AAAUUACGGUAGAAUUAAGGAGCAUUUUUGUCGCACAGAAAGUUCUCUUACCUACCCCUUCCUUUGAUCAGAAAUUAAAAAAACACCAAACAAACAAGAAAAUAUUGGAAUUUUCCAAAAGAACAGAAAUUGUGGUUUUUCUCUUAGCUCAGUGAUCUCUCUGGCUAUUUCUCACUCACUCACCUUGUGAAAAGGGAAGAGAAAUUGCUCCAAACAAAAGUGCUUUAGCUGCUUCAAUUUGAAUUCAAUUGCACUUAGAGUAAGCCUGGGAGAGAGUUUGGCAGAUACUUAAUGUGUUAAAUGACACAAAAUUGUAACUAUUACGAUAGGGCAUGCAUUAUCUGAGUAUUUCUGAUGUAGGUAAAAAAAAGCAGGAGUCCUGAGAAAUGGAUAUUCCUAAAGAAUAAAUGGUAGGCAAGUGCCAGGAAAAUGACAUAUAUCUUUUAAAUUUCUUUUGAUGGUUGGCUUUGGCUCUAAAAAUAAAAAUGCUGAUUAAUUACCUUUUUAAAGUACUUUAAUAAUGACACUGAUUAACCUUUACAGCAACCUGGUGGAGCAGAUGAGUUUUUAUACUGCCAAUUUAGAGAUAAUUAAGUAGCAGAUCUGUUAAAACACCUUCAUUUUUGAUGCCUUCUAGGUUUUUAAUAUCCACCUCAAGAAACCCAGUGGUUGAAGAGCUUCUGCCCCUUCAGUUGGUCUCUGGCUGAGUUGUGGCACCUCAAAACAUUUUGCCCCUGGGGCCCCACUGUGAGAAGCUGCAUUUGUGAUCAUCCACAGUGAAAACCUGUGCCUGAAAAUCCCCUCCAUGAGUGUGCUGCUCCAUGUUGAGUCAGGCAGAUGGUUGUCAGACCACUCAGGAAAUACAAGGUUUGUGUAAUCUGGGGGCCUCCCUCUGAUGAUGACCAGCACUAAGUGCCUCAAACAAAACUGCAAGAGAGAGAAUACCUUUGUUUAAGCAAUGGAUCACAAUAAAACCUGUUUCAGUGGUUUCAG